GGAAAGGUGCUCGAGUGGUUGAAGAGGCACGCCUGGAAAGCGUGUAAACGCCUAAAGCGUUUCGGGGGUUCGAAUCCCCCUCUUUCCGCCA
rnacentral:tRNA from 1 species